GAUGAACGCUAGCGGGAGGCUUAAUACAUGCAAGUCGAGCGGCAAGUUUUGAUAGCAAUAUUGGAACCUAGAGCGGCGCACGGGUGAGUAACGCGUACAUGACCUGCCCUAUACUGGGGGAUAGUCUUGGGAAACUGAGAAUAAUCCCGCAUGUGAUUAGAAUGCUGCAUGGCAAAUUAAUUAAAGCUGAGGCGGUAUAGGAUGGGUGUGCGUCUGAUUAGCUAGUUGGUAGUGUAACGGACUACCAAGGCGAUGAUCAGUAGGGGGCGUGAGAGCGUGACCCCCCCANACGGGUACUGAGACACGGACCCGACUCCUACGGGAGGCAGCAGUAAGGAAUAUUGGUCAAUGGAGGGAACUCUGAACCAGCCAUCCCGCGUGAAGGAUGAAGGGGCUCUGCCUUGUAAACUUCUUUUGCAUGGGACGAAAAAACUUAUUAUUAAGGACUGACGGUACCAUGAGAAUAAGCACCGGCUAACUCCGU
rnacentral:rRNA from 1 species